GACGAACGCUGGCGGCGUGCCUAAUACAUGCAAGUCGAACGCACAGUUUAUACCGUAGCUUGCUACACCAUACACUGUGAGUUGCGAACGGGUGAGUAACGCGUAGGUAACCUGCCUGGUAGCGGGGGAUAACUAUUGGAAACGAUAGCUAAUACCGCAUAAUAUUAAUUAUUGCAUGAUAAUUGAUUGAAAGAUGCAAUUGCAUCACUACCAGAUGGACCUGCGUUGUAUUAGCUAGUAGGUGAGGUAACGGCUCACCUAGGCGACGAUACAUAGCCGACCUGAGAGGGUGAUCGGCCACACUGGGACUGAGACACGGCCCAGACUCCUACGGGAGGCAGCAGUAGGGAAUCUUCGGCAAUGGACGAAAGUCUGACCGAGCAACGCCGCGUGAGUGAAGAAGGUGUUCGGAUCGUAAAGCUCUGUUGUAAGAGAAGAACGGGUGUGAGAGUGGAAAGUUCACACUGUGACGGUAUCGUACCAGAAAGGGACGGCUAACUACGU
rnacentral:rRNA from 1 species